rnacentral:lncRNA from 1 species
AACAAUUUAUUUCUAUCAACCAUUUGUGUGAGCAAUUUUAGGUUGUUUAAGCUUGACAAUUGGUUUUCAAAUGUUGUUUGUUCAUUAUCACCAAACCAGAACAAAAACGUCGUCGUAUAAGUUAAUAAUUUUUUUCUCCUUUUUGCUCGAUAAAUAUAUAUUCUAGGUUUGUUUGUGGCAAAAUUGAAUUGAAUUUGAAUUGGAAGACUGAGAGCUAAACACUUAGUUGAACUCUAAGGACAGAGCCUGGAUAAACAACUAACUGGGACCGGACCAGACCGGCUUAAAACCUUACAUUUUGAGAGAAAAUCCUAGACCGACUGGUUUAGGUCGGUUUUACUGGUUUUUUUCUGCUUUAGUUUUUAUGCCUAGUCUUAAACAAGAUGUCUAAUAUGUUUUACACAUUCACGGUAGACGAGAUGUCAAACCUUUAUCAAUUACCCAAAAAGGUGGAAGAUGAAUUGUUAUAGAAUGAAAUCAAUAAAAAAGAUGAAGAACAUGUAAAAUAAUAGAGCUAUUAUGUGUUUAUGUUUGAACAAGAGUUUUAAAUGUCUCUUCAUACUUGUUUAAAAACUAUGUUGCACCGACAGUUCAUACCAAUAGAGUGUCGGAGUGUCCGACACGCCCGACACGCCGACACAUACACUUUGACCGAAACACCAUAUCACCCUCUGACAUGUCACGUCGUCAAUUGUUACUUUAAAAAAAAUAAAAAAUAAAAAUAAAACCCAAAGCCUAAACUAUAGCAACCCCAAAAAAAUAUAGUUUCUUCUCUCCAUUCUGUUGCUUCUCUUUGACAAUUAAUAAAUGUGUGUAUUAGUGGGAGCGAGGACUGGAGAAGAAGAAGAGGUGAAGCGGAGAGAAGUAAAAUUUUGGGAAGAGUUGAAUUAAAUAGAGAGAAAAAGAAUUAUGGCUAGUGAGGGUUUAUGUUUUUGGAGUUUUAUAUGUAUGUAUGUAUGUAUGUAUGUGUAUAUAUAUAUACACACACACACAUAUAAAACUCUUAUCUAAAGCGAAGUUUCACUCUAAAAUUAUAGUUCAUAAGAAAUAAUAUUGUUCAAGGUUUUAAGCAAAGGGAAUACAACAGAUAACAAACAAAUUGAUAAACCCAACACACUGGGCUUUGCAAACAGAAAACACAAACUAGUGGGCUUAAACCAACAAACCCAGAGAUACAAUGAACACAACGGCAAACAAAAUGCCCAAUAGAGAGCCUAAGAUUGUAGCUCUCUUUAAUAAGGAAUACUCUCUUCAAUUGAAAGUCUUUUCUUAACUAAACGAGCAACAACAUGAAUCGAAAACACUUGUGUCACCUCUUCAAAGAGAAACUGAAACAGUUGUAUCAACAUAAAAGGAAACAUAUUACUCAAUUGUUGUAGUUCCACAUGUUCAGGUUGCAAAUUUCUAUCGCCAUCGGCACCAU